rnacentral:lncRNA from 1 species
CAGAUUCUUCAAGAAUGAACCUAGAGACGCUGUAGCUAUCUAUCUUCAUCGUCUGCUGGAAGAAGGUGUUGAUGUCUCUGAUUUCAGCCUCGAUGACUGUCUGGACUCUGAAGAAGACUUCGUCAGAUACAAGAGAGGUCUUUCUGAAAAGAAGGUAGCAUCUCAGGCAAAGAAGGCCAGACUCGGAGAAACUUCUGGAAGCAAAUCUUCAGCGCCUCUGAAUAUCUCAACUGGUAAGUCUGUUCCUCCUGUUACCUCUGAAUUUAUGAUGGCUUCCUCUAACCCUCUCU